rnacentral:sRNA from 1 species
AGGCACAGAGCAGAAGAGAAGUACCGAUCCCUUCUGGAACACGAGCAAAGUCGGUGCUAUUGAUGAAGCCUGACUCCUCUAGGAGGCCAACCCUAGGCCCCCUGGAAACCUGAUGCAGACCACCAGGGGAGCAGGGACCACCCCUGGAGGACCCCUAAGCUGGGCUGGAGCCUCAGAGGACUGAUGUCCCACAUGCUCACCUGCUAAGGGGACUCACCUGCGUGGCCCUGAGCUUCAGCUACGUGGCUCUAAGUUAGCGUCUACAACGAGGGAGAGCCUCCAGUCUGGAUCUCUGCACACCAUCAGCAGGGGCCAUGCUCUGGGUGUUCUGUGACACCCGUCACUUACAUCACCGAGAUUCCUCUCCUGGUCAUUCAGCUUGUGUCCCGGAGCAAGUAUUGAAAGCCAAGAUACAUGCAAAAGAUGCGUGUUUGUGUGCAAGGAGCCGCAGCGGCUGAACAAGCAACUAUAUUAUGCCGAGAUGAAAGUAUAAAUAAAGCUUGACUGAGGUUUAAAAAA